AACUAUUACAGUCGUUGAUGAAGAGGUUUUUGCUGCUUUAACCAAGUAGGAACUGUUUUCUUUUCUAAAAGAAUUAGACAUCUUUCUUAUUUACUUAAGAACGAUCACUGCUGAAUGCACCGUGAAACCUCUUUUUUGUUCAUCACCCUUAUUAAGUUGCGGUGUUUCAUGUAUAACUAUCUGAGGCUG
rnacentral:snoRNA from 1 species